GUUGGAGUGGCAGAGCCCGGCAAUGCAGGAGACCUAAGAUCCCCCGACGAAAGUUCAAGUCCUUCCCCCAACU
rnacentral:tRNA from 1 species